GGGAGGAAGAAGGUGAUCACCGUGGAGGAUGGUGGUUGUGCCUGGAAGGCACCAACUGUGCCAUCGAUUAUUCCAUCGACAGCUACUGCUACUACUGGAUUUGUUGUUGUUAGAGACUUUUGACUGUCUCCAUCAAAACAUUCAUCUGCUACAUAAGUGCAGUGAUCUGGGCGUCCGUGGUGACCACAGGAUGCAAAGAACUAGGCUCUGCUACCGGAGGUGGGGGAGGAGGAUCUUUCCGACGGGAAGAGU
rnacentral:lncRNA from 1 species